rnacentral:rRNA from 1 species
UACAGAGGUCUCAAGCGUUGUUCGGAUUCAUUGGGCGUAAAGGGUGCGUAGGCGGCGCGGUAAGUCGGGUGUGAAAUCUCGGAGCUUAACUCCGAAACUGCAUUCGAUACUGCCGUGCUUGAGGACUGGAGAGGAGACUGGAAUUUACGGUGUAGCGGUGAAAUGCGUAGAUAUCUGGAGGAACACCGGUGGCGAAGGCGGCAUCCUGGACCGGUAUUGACGCUGAGGAGCGAAAGCCAG